rnacentral:rRNA from 1 species
GACGAACCGUGCGAACGUUGUUCGGAAUCACUGGGCUUAAAGGGCGCGUAGGCGGGUUCGCAAGUCUGUGGUGAAAGCCUCCAGCUUAACUGGAGAAGUGCCAUGGAUACUGCGCAUUUUGAGGAGGGUAGGGGCGUCUGGAACGGUCGGUGGAGCGGUGAAAUGCGUUGAUAUCGACCGGAACUCCGGUGGCGAAGGCGAGGCGCUGGACCCUUUCUGACGCUGAGGCGCGAAAGCCAGGGGAGCAAACGGG